rnacentral:lncRNA from 1 species
AUGGCCGUUAACACUUCAUUAACUACUAGCAAGAAGGGCGCAACCCAAGGAGACCGAAGGGGGCACCAGGCGAAGUCCCGCAGCUUAGGAAGAACCAGCUCGGCGCGAGGCCGUCAUCGUCCGGGGCACCCAGAGCGAGAAGAGGUUCUUGCCUUCGCCCCACUUUCGCUCUCAAGGGCAGCAGACCGUGACCGCCCCUCCCGCGUUCAUUCGGCUGCCCCGGAAGCGCCCGACCCCGCAGUCCCNCGGGCCGCUACGAGCCACGGCAAGGCAGGUAUUAAACAGACUCAUGAAAACAUUGAACUAGUGAAGAUAACUGUGCAUCCAACUGAGANGAUACAGAUUUCAGAGGAUGCAGGCAAACUUAAAAUUCAUGAAUCUACCAAAUUGGUUGACAAAGAAGCGACAAAAGAAGAAGAGAAGACCUUGAAUUCUCUUGUGGGUCUUUUGCAAGAUAUGGUAAAAAACAUUCCUACAGAGCAAGUUUCAACGGAACCACCAACUAUUGUGAUAUCUGAAACCAANCCUUCUCCAUCUGAAAUGGCUGAUACUGUCUGGGUAAAUUUGAGCCCAAAGACUGAAAGCACCCAAGUAGAGUCGUUAGAAAGCGUUUCCCUGGUCCAUAAAAUUGUCUCACAUACUACCACACCAUUUUGGAAGCUCCGAAACGAUGCAAGUGCUUCAGUAGUUUUGCAUUCUGAGGCAAGUCCUGUGGAAAAAACUUCUCAAGAAAAUAUCCGCAUUGAGGUAAGCACAGCACCUGUUGAUUUGCUUUCCGAAAGUACAACCUCAGAACAGCCAUCAGCGAGUGUGUCAGUUACGGUGGAAGAAGAAACCACUAAGGCUGAAGUUCAGAAUUUUGAUCAGCUAACCAAUGGAGCCUUGGAAAAUCUGGUGGAAUCUCUAAAUAAUGUGAAAAAAUUGCAGAUCUCCCUACACGAUGUUGAUCAUAAGCCACAGGAAGAAAUGGAGGGUGAAAAAGUUGUGGUGGCCCAUAAGACCGUAAGUAUCGGCAUCUUUGACUUGAUUGAUAGGCUAAUUGAUACCAUCAGGGGCGCCCCUACCUCUGUUAAGGAAGACCCAGCUCUCCGUAGGUAUAUAGAAGAAGCAGAGAACUACCUAAAGGACGCACUGGAAUUAGCAGCAGAAGCGGAAAAGACGCUGGAGGAGGGGCAGAAGAUGGAGGAGGAAAAGGAACUGCAGGAGGAACACCAAGUGGAGGUAAAAAUUUCAUCUCCAGCCGAAGUUUUAAAAGUGGACGUNGUUUCUUCGACGACCACCCCCGCGCCCACCCCAGAAGUGACCCUCCAGGUCGUAUCGUCUGCUCCCGAGCCUCUGGCAAAAAUAACGGAAGAGACAAAGGUGGAAGCACUUCUGCCUGUAGGAGAUACGGCCGUCGAGGUGGUAACGUUUACACCGGAGCCUCUGGCCGAAGAAGCCGAAGACGCACAGGUGGAGAUGGGAAAGUUGAAAGCUUUUAUUAACUUGCUCUACGGCUUCAGUCCCCACCUAACGGCCUACACAAAGAAUCUGCCCAAUAAAGAGGCUGCAGAGGACAUUANUAACAGAGCAAUGGCUGUCCUUGAUGCUAUAAAGAGUAUUUUCUGUGGAAAUUCUACAGGGAAAAGCAAAGAGAUGUUGCAGCUGUUGUUAAAAGAGGAUAUGGAGCUCGUAAGGCAAGCCAUGAAGGAAAAUAGAGCACAUUAAGAAACCGUUUGGGCUUCUUGGUUGUAUAGAUAGUUUUUCACCUGAGUUACCACUAGAGAUCCAUUAUCUUCUUUGUAACAACCGCCCUUGGUAGCCAUUUCCCAAUCUGCAAUUAAAUGCUUAUUUUUAAGUAAUUUUGCUUUUAUUAUUCAUUCAUGUUUUGAAUUGUUCUUCAGGAUGCUUAUUCUGGCAUGUGACUUCUCGGUUAAGCAAAUGAGAUCAC